rnacentral:misc_RNA from 1 species
AACGCAUAUUGCGCCCUCUGGUAUUCCGGGGGGCACACCUGUUCGAGCGCCAUUUAAACCCUCAAGCCUUGCUUGGUGUUGGGAGGGGUCCUCACCGGGACCCCACCCGAAACUCAGCGGGCGCCACCCGUCAAACCGGGCGCAGCGAGCACAACGCACGCGCUGAUGGUUAGCGGGGGGUGCCCCAACGAAACCUUUUGGUUUUUUUCCAAGGUUGGCCUCGGAUCAGGUGGGGAUACCCGCUGAACUUAA